GACGAACGCUGGCGGCGUGCCUAACACAUGCAAGUCGAACGGAGUAAGACGCCGAAACCGAGAUUAGUUUACUAAAGGAAGUUUCUUGUCUUACUUAGUGGCGGACGGGUGAGUAACGCGUGAGGAACCUGCCCUUCAGAGGGGGACAACAGUUGGAAACGACUGCUAAUACCGCAUGAUGUACAUUUGGGACAUCCCUAAUGUACCAAAGGAGCAAUCCGCUGAAGGAUGGCCUCGCGUCCGAUUAGGUAGUUGGUGGGGUAACGGCCUACCAAGGCGACGAUCAGUAGCCGGCCUGAGAGGGUGAACGGCCACAUUGGGACUGAGACACGGCCCAG
rnacentral:rRNA from 1 species